GGUAUUGUUGACACAAUAGCAAGGUUGGUCCCCAUGAUCCAUACUACAGUGCUACCAAGUCUUACCGCGUCUUGUUGUUGGAGCCUGAGGAGGAGCUUGAGUAGUGGUCUAGGCCUCUUGUUCUGUUGAACUGGUACAGUAGGUGCUGGUCUACAGUGUGAAACUAGGGUUCUGGGAUUCUUCACUGCGGAGAGAAUAUACAAAGGUUCCUGUACACUAGUUGUGCAUUGGGCAGAAUGGCUGAGUAGGUGCUGAGCUCAAAUACAUAUAGCUGUUGUUUGAUCUCAAGACGAAGGCCGCACUCGAACUUCCUUGCAUUUCUUCCUUCAUUCAUCAUACACUCAUAAAAUAAUAGUCAAACUCUAAAAACUUACAGGCAUACUUUGACAUAGUUAUAUCAUUCUGGACUAGAUGUGUAAACUCAAUUUUUUCCAACACCGAAAAUGUUCUGGAAGGUACUCUGCAUUGAAUACCAUCAAAAAUUGU
rnacentral:lncRNA from 1 species